rnacentral:rRNA from 1 species
UACAGAGGUCUCAAGCGUUGUUCGGAUUCAUUGGGCGUAAAGGGUGCGUAGGUGGCGCGGUAAGUCGGGUGUGAAAUUUCGGAGCUUAACUCCGAAACUGCAUUCGAUACUGCCGUGCUUGAGGACUGGAGAGGAGACUGGAAUUUACGGUGUAGCGGUGAAAUGCGCAGAUAUCGGGAAGAACACCCGUGGCGAAGGCGGUUCUCUGGGACGGUACUGACGCUGAGACGCGAAAGCGUGGGGAGCGAACAGG